AUGUUGAAGGAGACCGCAAGGGAAUCAUCCCAGGAGGAAAGGAACCAGCAGAAUUGUUCCGCUGCAAGUAGGAAUCAGCAGCAAUCGGUGAUAGGUGAGCCGCAUGUUGUCCCAGUGCAUGUCUCUCCUUGUGGUAUAGGUGAAGCAAACUUGGGUAAGGUUCAGAAAUUCAGUCAUGUUCAGAGUCUGAACCAAUGUACUAGGGGAUACCGAAGCAAGAAAGUCUGGAUCCGCAAGACCCAUUCGGGUAAUCCGCCUGACAGAGGAAACAAUAUUGAUGCACCGACUUCUGUUAGUACUGAAGUCAAGCAUAUGGACGUUGAUCCUGAUAUAACUACAGCAAGUUUGGUACCAGUGAACAUCUUAACCUGGAAUUGUCAAGGUUUGGGGACGGAUUCCACGGUUGGCGAGCUGCGCUGGUUGGUGCACACCUAUCGCCCAUCCCUCCUCUUCUUGUCUGAGACAAAUAUGACAGAUAAAAGGGUAAGAAACUUCAUGUAG
rnacentral:rRNA from 1 species